rnacentral:rRNA from 1 species
GACGUAGGGUGCGAGCGUUGUCCGGAAUUAUUGGGCGUAAAGAGCUCGUAGGCGGUGUGUCGCGUCGGCCGUGAAAACCUGCAGCUUAACUGUGGGCUUGCGGUCGAUACGGGCAUCACUGGAGUUCGGCAGGGGAGACUGGAAUUCCUGGUGUAGCAGUGAAAUGCGCAGAUAUCAGGAGGAACACCGGUGGCGAAGGCGGGUCUCUGGGCCGAUACUGACGCUGAGGAGCGAAAGCGUGGGGAGCGAACAGG